CGGCAACAGCUCAAAUUUGAAAUCUGGCUCUCGGGCCCGAGUUGUAAUUUGUAGAGGAGUAUUCGAGUUUGGCAUUGGCUAAAGUUCCUUGGAAGAGGGCGUCAGAGAGGGUGAGAACCCCGUGUUAAGCCUUUGUUUUUUCUCAUGUGAAUCUCCUUCAAC
rnacentral:rRNA from 1 species